GACGAACGCUGGCGGCGUGCCUAAUACAUGCAAGUCGAACGCUUCUUUUCCCACCGGAGCUUGCUCCACCGGGAAAAGAGGAGCGGCGAACGGGUGAGUAACACGUGGGUAACCUGCCCAUCAGAAGGGGAUAACACUUGGAAACAGGUGCUAAUACCGUAUAACAAUCGAAACCGCAUGGUUUCGUUUUGAAAGGCGCUUUACGGUGCCGCUGAUGGAUGGACCCGCGGUGCAUUAGCUAGUUGGUGAGGUAACGGCUCACCAAGGCCACGAUGCAUAGCCGACCUGGGAGGGUGAUCGGCCACAUUGGGACUGAGACACGGCCCAAACUCCUACGGGAGGCAGCAGUAGGGAAUCUUCGGCAAUGGACGAAAGUCUGACCGAGCAACGCCGCGUGAGUGAAGAAGGUUUUCGGAUCGUAAAACUCUGUUGUUAGAGAAGAACAAGGGUGAGAGUAACUGUUCACCCCUUGACGGUAUCUAACCAGAAAGCCACGGCUAACUAUGUGCCAGCAGCCGCAGUAA
rnacentral:rRNA from 1 species